rnacentral:rRNA from 1 species
AGAGUUUGAUCCUGGCUCAGACGAACGCUGCGGCAUGCCUAACACAUGCAAGUCGAACGAACCCUUCGGGUUAGUGGCGCACGGGUGCGUAACGCGUGGGAAUCUGCCCUUUGCUUCGGAAUAACAGUUAGAAAUGACUGCUAAUACCGGAUGAUGUCUUCGGACCAAAGAUUUAUCGGCAAAGGAUGAGCCCGCGUAGGAUUAGGUAGUUGGUGGGUAAAGGCCUACCAAGCCGACGAUCCUUAGCUGGUCUGAGAGGAUGAUCAGCCACACUGGGACUGAGACACGGCCCAGACUCCUACGGGAGGCAGCAGUGGGGAAUAUUGGACAAUGGACGCAAGUCUGAUCCAGCAAUGCCGCGUGAGUGAUGAAGGCCUUAGGGUUGUAAAGCUCUUUUACCAGGGAUGAUAAUGACAGUACCUGGAGAAUAAGCUCCGGCUAACUCCGUG